rnacentral:rRNA from 1 species
UGAGUUCCCGUUGAUCCUGCGGGAGGUUGCUGCUAUUAGGAUUCGACUAAGCCAUGCAAGUCAGGGGUUGCUUCGGCAACACCGGCAUAAUGCUCAGUAACACGUCGAUAAUCUGCCCUUUGGUUCAGGAUACCCUCGGUAAACUGAGGUUAAGACUGAAUAGGAAAAUUAUAUUGGAACAUAGAUUUUCUCAAAAGUAAUGCCAAAGGAUGAGUCGGCGGCUGAUUAGUUUGUUGGCGAGGUAAAGGCUCACCAAGACGAAGAUCAGUAGGGGCCAUGAGAGUGGGAGCCCCGAGAAGGGUACUGAGAUACUGACCCUAGCCCUACGGGGUGCAGCAGGCGCGAAACCUUUACAAUGCACGCAAGUGUGAUAAGGGAAUCCUAAGUGCUUAUACUAUGUAUAGGCUUUUUUCAAGAGUAAAUACCUUGGAGAAUAAGUGAUGGGUAAGACUGGUGCCAGCAGCCGCGGUAACACCAGCGUCACAAGUGGCAACCAUAUUUAUUUGGCCUAAAGCGUCCGUAGCAGGUUCUGUAAAUCUUCUGUGAAAUCGUUAAGCUCAACUUAACGGCGUGCAGGAGAGACUGCAAAACUCGAGACCGGGAGAAGUCAGAGGUAUUUUAGGGGGAGCGGUAAAAUGUUAUAAUCCCUAAAGGACCACCUGUGGCGAAGGCGUCUGACUAGAACGGAUCUGACUGUGAGGGACGAAAGCCAGGGGAGCAAAGCGGAUUAGAUACCCGCGUAGUCCUGGCUGUAAACUCUGCGAGCUAGGUGUUACAUAUUCCACGUGAGCAUGUAGUGUCGAAGCGAAGGUGAUAAGCUCGCCGCCUGGGAAGUAUGGUCGCAAGACUGAAACUUAAAGGAAUUGGCGGGGGAGCACCACAAGGGGUGCGGCGUGCGGUUUAAUCUAAUUCAACGCAGAAAAUCUCACCAGAGGCGACGGCAGGAUGAAAGUCAGGCUGAAGACCUUACUUGACGAGCCGAGAGGUAGUGCAUGGCCGCCGUCAGCUCGUGCCAUGAGGUGUCCUGUUAAGUCAGGUAACGAGCAAGACCUAUACCUACAAUUGCUAACGACUUUUGGAAGGAUCGAGCACAUUGUGGGGACUGCCUUGGAAACAAGGAGGAAGGUGUAGGCAACGGUAGGUCUGUAUGCUCCGAAUCUUCUGGGCUACACGCGCGCAACAAUGGUAUGGACAAUGGGAUACAACUCUGAAAAGAGAAGUUAAUCCUCGAAACCAUAUCCAAGUCCAGAUUGAGGAUUGGAACCCAUCCUCAUGACGAUGGAAUCCCUAGUAAUUGGAGCUCAUCACACUCCAGUGAAUAUGUCCCUGCUCCUUGCACACACCGCCCGUCAAACCACCCGAGCAGGGUUUUGGUGAGGCCUAAUUUUUUGAUUAGGUCGAAUCUAAACUCAGUGAGGUGGGUUAAGUCGUCACAAGGUAGCCGUAGGGGAACCUGCGGCUGGAUCACCUCCUUUAU